AUUAAAACACCAGUUCCCAUAUGAUCACUGAAGUUAAGCAACAUCAAACCUGAUCAGUAUCUAGAUGGGCGACUGCUUGGGAUUACCAGGUGCUGUAAG